GACGAACGCUGGCGGCGCGCUUAACACAUGCAAGUCGAGCGAGAACCAUUCCUUCGGGAAUGGGGACAGCGGCGAACGGGUGAGUAACACGUGGGUAAUCUGCCCUCGAUUCUGGGAUAGCCCGGGGAAACCCGGAUUAAUACCGGAUAGCCUCUCGAGCUUUCGAGCUCGUGAGAAAAGGUAGCUUCGGCCUCCGAUCGAGGAUGAGCCCGCGGCGGAUUAGCUUGUUGGUGGGGAAUGGCCUACCAAGGCAACGAUCCGUAGCUGGUCUGAGAGGACGAUCAGCCACACUGGGACUGAGACACGGCCCAGACUCCUACGGGAGGCAGCAGUGGGGAAUCUUGCGCAAUGGGCGAAAGCCUGACGCAGCGACGCCGCGUGGGGGAAGAAGGCCUCGG
rnacentral:rRNA from 1 species